rnacentral:rRNA from 1 species
GACGAACGCUGGCGGCGCGCUUAACACAUGCAAGUCGAACGGAAAGGCCUGCUUUCCCUUGUGGAUUGCGGGUACUCGAGUGGCGAACGGGUGAGUAACACGUGAGUGAUCUGCCCCCAACUUGGGUAUAAGCCUGGGAAACUGGGUCUAAUUCCCGAUAGGACUGCAGAGUGGUGCCUGUGGUGGAAAACGAUUUUCUAGUGGUUGGGGAUGAGCUCGCGGCCUAUCAGCUUGUUGGUGGGGUAAUGGCCUACCAAGGCGGCGACGGGUAGCCGGCCUGAGAGGGUGGACGGCCACAUUGGGACUGAGAUACGGCCCAGACUCCUACGGGAGGCAGCAGUGGGGAAUAUUGCACAAUGGGCGGAAGCCUGAUGCAGCGACGCCGCGUGGGGGAUGACGGCCUUCGGGUUGUAAACUCCUUUCGACCGCGAGGAAGCCACCUGGUUGGAAGGGUGGUGACGGUAGUGGUAGAAGAAGCACCGGCUAACUACGUG